rnacentral:rRNA from 1 species
CCUACGGGUGGCAGCAGUGAGGAAUAUUGGUCAAUGGACGAGAGUCUGAACCAGCCAAGUAGCGUGAAGGAUGACUGCCCUAUGGGUUGUAAACUUCUUGUAUAUGGGAAUAAAACGUUCCACGUGUGGGAUUUUGUAUGUACCAUAUGAAUAAGGAUCGGCUAACUCCGUGCCAGCAGCCGCGGUAAUACGGAGGAUCCGAGCGUUAUCCGGAUUUAUUGGGUUUAAAGGGAGCGUAGGUGGAUUGUUAAGUCAGUUGUGAAAGUUUGCGGCUCAACCGUAAAAUUGCAGUUGAAACUGGCAGUCUUGAGUACAGUAGAGGUGGGCGGAAUUCGUGGUGUAGCGGUGAAAUGCUUAGAUAUCACGAAGAACUCCGAUUGCGAAGGCAGUUCACUGGACUGCAACUGACACUGAGGCUCGAAAGUGUGGGUAUCAAACAGGAUUAGAUACCCUUGUAGUC